CGAACACAAGUUUUCAACUAAAUGUUUACGAUUGCAUUAAAUUAUAUUAAUAAUGUCUGUGAGUUUUCUAUUAUAUUGUUAUUAUCCUUCUACGAUCCUCAUAUACGCUUUGGUCGCGCAAGAAAAACUGAAGAAAAAAAAUGUUUACAUUAUAACCGUAACCAUUAUCGCAUCAAUUAACUUUUAACAUAAUCACAAUAGCUGCUUAAUAAUAAAAUUUAGCCGCUUGUGAAAUCAUAGAGUCCACAGAAUGCUGCCUGCAGUGACUUUCCGCUUUCCAUUUUUCGACGAUGCCACGAAAAUUGUCACUAACAUCAGAAUUAUAUUUUAUUAUCGUAAACAACUCUGUGUAUUUGUGAGCGGAGGUUGGUGGAAGUGAAAAUCGAUGAAAAUCGAAAGUGAGAGAUCGUCCGUAGGCGUGCAAAACAUUUCGAAAACGAGAGUUUGUAAAUAUUAUUUCAAUGCGCGGGAAAUUAAUCACGUGCACGUGUGCGCGGAUACGACGUUUCGACGCCGGAAACAACGGCUCGAAAAUGACGAGAUGUUCAUUCGGUCAGAAUCACUUUAUCCAUGAAAAUGCGGCAGGUGAAUUUCUUUCAGUAAAAAUAUUCUGUUCUGGGUUGUAAUUCAAAAAUGAAAGUUUAAACAAUAGCCAAUACUGAUGACAGGUGUGCUACUGUUAUUAUAGGGGUGGCUGAAGUCAAGACAAUAGACUUCAUAUUGUAUAAUAUCAGAAUAA